GUCUGCCUACGGGAGGCAGCAGUAGGGAAUAUUGCUCAAUGGGGGAAACCCUGAAGCAGCAACGCCGCGUGGAGGAUGAAGGCUUUCGGAUUGUAAACUCCUUUUGUUAGAGAAGAUAAUGACGGUAUCUAACGAAUAAGCACCGGCUAACUCCGUGCCAGCAGCCGCGGUAAUACGGAGGGUGCAAGCGUUACUCGGAAUCACUGGGCGUAAAGAGCGCGUAGGCGGGAUAGCAAGUCAGAUGUGAAAUCCUAUGGCUUAACCAUAGAACUGCAGUUGAAACUGUUAUUCUAGAGUAUGGGUGG
rnacentral:rRNA from 1 species